CAUGCAAGUCGAGCGGAAACGAGUUAACUGACCCUUCGGGUGACGUUAACGGCGUCGAGCGGCGGACGGGUGAGUAAUGCCUGGGAAAUUGCCCUGAUGUGGGGGAUAACCAUUGGAAACGAUGGCUAAUACCGCAUAAUGCCUUCGGGCCAAAGAGGGGGACCUUCGGGCCUCUCGCGUCAGGAUAUGCCCAGGUGGGAUUAGCUAGUUGGUGAGGUAAUGGCUCACCAGGGCGACGAUCCCUAGCUGGUCUGGGAGGAUGAUCAGCCACACUGGAACUGAGACACGGUCCAGACUCCUACGGGAGGCAGCAGUGGGGAAUAUUGCACAAUGGGCGCAAGCCUGAUGCAGCCAUGCCGCGUGUGUGAAGAAGGCCUUCGGGUUGUAAAGCACUUUCAGCAGUGAGGAAGGCGGGUACGUUAAUAGCGUAUUCGUUUGACGUUAGCUGCAGAAGAAGCACCGGCUAACUCCGUGCCAGCAGCCGCGGUAAUACGGAGGGUGCGAGCGUUAAUCGGAAUUACUGGGCGUAAAGCGCAUGCAGGUGGUUCGUUAAGUCAGAUGUGAAAGCCCGGGGCUCAACCUCGGAACAGCAUUUGAAAC
rnacentral:rRNA from 1 species